rnacentral:rRNA from 1 species
GCAGCCAUGCCGCGUGUGUGAAGAAGGCCUUCGGGUUGUAAAGCACUUUCAGUUGUGAGGAAAAGCUAGUAGUUAAUACCUGCUAGCCGUGACGUUAACAACAGAAGAAGCACCGGCUAACUCCGUGCCAGCAGCCGCGGUAAUACGGAGGGUGCGAGCGUUAAUCGGAAUUACUGGGCGUAAAGCGCACGCAGGCGGUUUGUUAAGCUAGAUGUGAAAGCCCCGGGCUCAACCUGGGAUGGUCAUUUAGAACUGGCAGACUAGAGUCUUGGAGAGGGGAGUGGAAUUCCAGGUGUAGCGGUGAAAUGCGUAGAUAUCUGGAGGAACAUCAGUGGCGAAGGCGACUCCCUGGCCAAAGACUGACGCUCAUGUGCGAAAGUGUGGGUAGCGAACAGGAUUAGAUACCCUGGUAGUCCACACCGUAAACGCUGUCUACUAGCUGUGUGUGAAUUUAAUUCGUGCGUAGCGAAGCUAACGCGCUAAGUAGACCGCCUGGGGAGUACGGCCGCAAGGUUAAAACUCAAAUGAAUUGACGGGGGCCCGCACAAGCGGUGGAGCAUGUGGUUUAAUUCGAUGCAACGCGAAGAACCUUACCUACACUUGACAUGCAGAGAACUUUCCAGAGAUGGAUUGGUGCCUUCGGGA